AUUGAACGCUGGCGGCAUGCUUUACACAUGCAAGUCGAACGGCAGCGCGGGCUUCGGCCUGGCGGCGAGUGGCGAACGGGUGAGUAAUGCAUCGGAACGUGCCCAGUAGUGGGGGAUAGCCCGGCGAAAGCCGGAUUAAUACCGCAUACGACCUGAGGGGGAAAGCGGGGGACCGAAAGGCCUCGCGCUAUUGGAGCGGCCGAUGUCGGAUUAGCUAGUUGGUGGGGUAAAGGCUUACCAAGGCGACGAUCCGUAGCUGGUCUGAGAGGACGACCAGCCACACUGGGACUGAGACACGGCCCAGACUCCUACGGGAGGCAGCAGUGGGGAAUUUUGGACAAUGGGGGCAAUCCUGAUCCAGCCAUGCCGCGUGCGGGAAGAAGGCCUUCGGGUUGUAAACCGCUUUUGUUCGGGAAGAAAUCCUCUGGGCUAAUACCCCGGGGGGAUGACGGUACCGGAAGAAUAAGCACCGGCUAACUACGUG
rnacentral:rRNA from 1 species